AUGCCUUGGAGAAGAAGAAGGAGAGAACAAGCUGAUGAUACUAUUUGCAUAAAAUCUGUCCAAUGAAGAGAGGGGUAGACACCCGGCUGUUCUUUCGGGACAACCAUGGGCGGCUCCUUCACACUGAU
ensembl:ncRNA W09C2.12 ncRNA